GCUACCUUUGCAUACAUUUGGUCUUGCUUCCUACAAGUUUAAAGUUUCAUUUUGGAACCCAAAUGGAGUUUAUGGAUGUCCAAAGGUCAAUUCCCUGUUGCGGGCUGCUGACAACUGGCUUAAGCGUUUGCAAGUAAACCAUCCUGAUUUUACGUUCUUUAUCUCCCACAACUCAAACUGGAGAUGAUUGGGAGUUCUUUGAUGGAGCUAUGAACCUGAAAUGAAGGGAUGCAUAU
rnacentral:misc_RNA from 1 species